GGGGGCUUGGUGUAGGGGGAUCACGUUUGCUUUGCAUUGUUUCGAAUGCUUGCGAAAGGUCGGGGGUUCAAAUCCCUCAGCCUCCA
rnacentral:tRNA from 1 species